GGAAAUGUGGCUCAGUGGUAGAGCAUCUGCCUAGGAAGAACAAAGCCCUGAGUUCAAACUUCAGUACCGCCA
rnacentral:tRNA from 1 species